rnacentral:sRNA from 1 species
UAAUUCCAGUGUCGAAAGUCCUUCCUUCACGACGUGCCUCUGCACAGGAGAGUAAGGAAGGACUUUAUGACACGUCUCUCUAUGAGCAUGAAGCGGGGGAUACCCCGCGAAAUGCGAAUAGAGGGCUGCAUGGUGUGAGCUGCUCCGCUGCGAACCCAUGCGGAAUUA